rnacentral:lncRNA from 1 species
CUUGUAAAAUGACUGAAAAUUAUACAGUUAUCAAAAAAGUUGCAUAUUUAUUUUCUGUGGAUCGUUUCAACUCUAGAUAUUAUAAGAUUAAUGUAUGCAUAAACACAUUUAAUCAAACUUAAUCACAGGCCUCAGAAAAAAGCCCACACACUUGCAUCAUGGGACAAAUAAACUUUUCAAUGAAAGCCUGAUGAGCAAAAGUCAAACAAAGCAUAAGAAGAAAGUAUCGUAUGGGGCCCUGGUAGCUCACCUGGUAGAGCUGCCCCCCUGUGUACCAUGAGUACAGUAGCUGCAGUGGCCAUGGGUUUGAGUCCGGCCUGCAGCCCCCCUCACUGUGUGUCAUCCCCUUUCUCUCCCCCUUUCCUGUCUGUCUUGAGCUGUCAAAUGAAGUCAAAAAAUAAAAAAAAAUUAUCCAACUUCUCAUAACCUUCACACACUGACUCAUGCAGUAUUUUUCACACCUGCAGGGGGAGACAAACACUGCUAAUAAAGCAUAGGUUGUGAUGUAUAUAACAGACACCUCUCCUGUUUCAUAUAGUGUAAUAGUCAUGUGCUCUUGAGCUGAAAGGGCCUAAAAGGGAAGCCAACAGUAGAGUCUCACAAUUUUUUAUUCUUUAUUCUUUAUAAUGUUACAGGUUUUUCUAUUUUGUUUCCUUCGUCUGCCGGGGAAUGAGGGUUCCUCUCUCUCCAACAGCGUCUUCCAAACGCCUCCUUUCAUCAUUAAGAGAGUUGGUGAAUCUGUUGUCAGUGGGAUCAAAUGUUCACACACCAUAACAAGUUAUGAAGUUAUUCUCUGGUACAAACAAGAUGAAAGCAAAACUCUGCAGUUCCUGGGAUAUUUGAAUCUCAACUUCCCAUACCCUGAGGAAGACGUGAAGGGAAAAAUCAGCUUUGAUGGAAAUGGCCAGAAAUAUUCGAACCUCAAUAUUUCCAGUCUUUCAUUAAAUGACAGCGGUGUGUAUUUCUGUGCUGCCAGGCGACACAGUGCUUCAGAUUCCCCACAAGUCAAUACAAAAACUCUCCUUUAUCUGCCUGCAGAUAGACAACAUGUUGAGUCUCUGAACACCUGCAGCCAGCCUCCAUCUAAACCGAGCCUUUCAAGAUUUUAA